CAAUAGCGUAUAUUAAAGUUGUUGCGGUUAAAAAGCUCGUAGUUGGAUUUCUGUUGAGGACGACCGUUCCGCCCUCUGGGUGAGUAUCUGGCUCGGCCUCGGCAUCUUCUUGGAGAACGUUACUGCACUUGAUUGUGUGGUGCGGUAUCCAGGACCUUUACUUUGAGGAAAUUAGAGUGUUUCAAGCAGGCGUACGCCUUGAAUACAUUAGCAUGGAAUAAUAAGAUAAGACCUUCGGUUCGUAUUUUGUUUGGUUUCGUUAGGGCUAAGGUAAUGAUUAAUAGGGAUAGUUGGGGGCAUUCGGUAUUUAACUUGUCUAGAGGUGAAAUU
rnacentral:rRNA from 1 species